AUUGAACGCUGGCGGCAUGCUUUACACAUGCAAGUCGAACGGUAACAGGCCGCUAGGUGCUGACGAGUGGCGAACGGGUGAGUAAUGCAUCGGAACGUGCCCAGUCGUGGGGGAUAACUACUCGAAAGAGUAGCUAAUACCGCAUACGAUCUAUGGAUGAAAGCGGGGGACCGUAAGGCCUCGCGCGAUUGGAGCGGCCGAUGUCAGAUUAGGUAGUUGGUGGGGUAAAGGCUCACCAAGCCAACGAUCUGUAGCUGGUCUGAGAGGACGACCAGCCACACUGGGACUGAGACACGGCCCAGACUCCUACGGGAGGCAGCAGUGGGGAAUUUUGGACAAUGGGCGCAAGCCUGAUCCAGCAAUGCCGCGUGCAGGAAGAAGGCCUUCGGGUUGUAAACUGCUUUUGUACGGAACGAAACGGCUCUGGUUAAUACCCGGGGCUAAUGACGGUACCGUAAGAAUAAGCACCGGCUAACUACGUG
rnacentral:rRNA from 1 species